rnacentral:rRNA from 1 species
GACGGAAGGUGCAAGCGUUGCUCGGAAUCACUGGGCGUAAAGGGUGCGUAGGUGGCGCGUUAAGUCCGUUGUGAAAUCCCUUGGCUCAACCAAGGAAAUGCUUCGGAUACUGGCGUGCUUGAGGCUAGUAUGGGUCACUGGAACUGACGGUGGAGCGGUGAAAUGCGUAGAUAUCGUCAGGAACGCCAAUGGUGAAGACAGGUGACUGGGCUAGAUCUGACACUGAGGCACGAAAGCGUGGGGAGCGAACGGG